UUUUACUUAGAUAAUAAAUCUCAGAACCUCUACAAACACAAACACCAAAAAAAAAAAAAAAAAAAAAAAAAAAAAAAAAAAAAAAAAAAAAAAAAAAAACUUUUUUUAAAAUUUUUUAAAUUCCAACUCCACCACCUUUGCCAAAAAAAAAUAAUAAUAAUAUUCUUGGACUUUUUUUACACAAGAACCAUCUAAAAUUUUAUAAUUUACGAAAUAACCCUAUAAUAUUUAUAUUUGGCAAAUUAACUCUCAAAACGCAGUGAAUCAUUCACCGUAUUCUGAAAGUCUGUAAGAUGCUUUAAAGGCGGUGAAUCAUUCAACGUCUUCUUCAUAAUUUUUUAGAAAAAAGAAAAAAAAUGAGAUGAAUCAUUCACCGUAUUUUUCAUAAAAAAAUAAGGUUAUUAAAAUUGUACGUAAUUAUACGGGAAAUAAAAAAAGUGAGGCUGUUAGGAUUAUGUGUGGAAUAUUAGAAUUUUUGUUUGAUUGCUAUAAUUGUAUGAAUAGAUUAUUAAAUUUUUUUUUAUUGUUAGAAUUAUAUGACUAUAUUAUUAGGAUUUUCAAUUUGUUAAGAUUAUAUGUGAUGUUUGAUUAUUACGAUUGUAUGGAUAGAUUAUUAGGAUGUUUUUUAUUGUUAGGAUUGUAUAAAUAGAUUGUUAAAAUUUUCAGAUUAUUAAGAUUAUAUGUGAUUUAUUGAAAUAUUUAUGUGGUUGUUAGGAUUAUAGAAAGAAACAAUAAAUAAGUGAAAGUCGGUGAAUGAUUCACCGCUUUUCUAAUAAAUUAAGCUCUUUAUCAAAGCGGUGAAUCAUUCACCGUCUGUAAGAGAUUAAUUUUUUAAAUAUAAUUUUCAUAAGAUUAUUUCGUAAAUAAUAAAAUUUUAAAAAAUUAUUUUAUAAAAAAGCCCAUUGU
rnacentral:lncRNA from 1 species